GACGAACGCUGGCGGCGUGCUUAACACAUGCAAGUCGAACGGAAAGGCCCUGCUUUUGUGGGGUGCUCGAGUGGCGAACGGGUGAGUAACACGUGAGUAACCUGCCCUGGACGUGGGGAUAACUUCAGGAAACUGGGGCUAAUACCGGAUAGGAGCUCCUGCUGCAUGGGGGGGGUUGGAAAGUGUCGGCGGUUGGGGAUGGACUCGCGGCUUAUCAGCUUGUUGGUGGGGUAGUGGCUUACCAAGGCUUUGACGGGUAGCCGGCCUGGGAGGGUGACCGGCCACAUUGGGACUGAGAUACGGCCCAGACUCCUACGGGAGGCAGCAGUGGGGAAUAUUGCACAAUGGGCGGAAGCCUGAUGCAGCAACGCCGCGUGCGGGAUGACGGCCUUCGGGUUGUAAACCGCUUUCGCCUGUGACGAAGCGUGAGUGACGGUAAUGGGUAAAGAAGCACCGGCUAACUACGUG
rnacentral:rRNA from 1 species